UCCUCAGUCAUUGUCGAUCUCCGUCAAACUUUUUACCUUGCCCCCUAAAGCUCACCCACAUGGUGUACCUCAAACCUUGAACCUCACCCACAUUGUGUACCUCAAACCUAGCCUGCUGUCUCAAAAAUAUUAGGUUAUACGCCACUGUAAAGGAAAGGGUUUUAACUUCUGAGUGGAUCAAAUUUCUUGUGAAUUGUUUCAUCGUGCAGUCCAUGUCCCAAUUGCCCUAGCCGCGCUACCACACAAUACUCGAUACCUUUGUUAACAACGACGAUUGUUAUUCUUCCCUCCCUCAUCGCUUGCAACUUAUCUAUCAUUAUUUCUCAAAUCUAAAAGGUUGAGUUUUCAUUACGAUGAAAGUGAUGAAGAAGGGGAAAAGACACUCACACAGUGGGGAAAAGAAGAAGAAUAAGAGGUACAGGGAACAAAACCCUAAUGUUGAGAUAAUUGUUGCCACGCAGAACGGUGAAGUGGAUAGUGCCAAUGGAAUGCAGGUUAGAGAUGCAAAAAAGGAGAAAACUUCCAUCAACAAAAAGAGAAAGAGCAAGGACAAGAAUCUAGUUAGGAAACGAAAACCGAAAGGCCAAGAGGUUGAUUUGGAUGAGCAAAGUGAUGGAGUAAUGUACAAUCCUCAUUGUAAAGCUGAGGAGAUCCAAGGGUUAGAUGGGCACAGAGAUUCUGAUACUGGAGCAGCUAUCAAACUAUGUAGGUCAAAGAAAGACAAGAAGAAAAGAAAGGAGGUUCAAGAUUCACCAGAAAAGGAGGGAGAAGGGUGCAAUCAGGUGGAAGUUUAUAUUAUUUCCUCUGUUGAUGAUGACUGCUCAAAAGGAAUGAAAAGUGUAUCAUGCAUUCAUGCUGUAGUCAAGAACUCAAAAUACAAUACUUGUUGAUGGGGUCAAGGUACACAGUGAUGAUACCAUUGUCAUUAAGGACGGAAGUCAAAUUAUCCCAAGUCCCGAUAGAGAAUAUUUGCAAUGCUUUUACUGAUAUGGAAAACCCUUCACCUUGUUAGCGUUUGCCUGAUGGCUUCAAAAGGGUUCGGGUUCCUCAUUUAGUUAAUACCAAGGUAAGCUAAAAG